GUAAUUCACAAACACACAAGCAUAAUCCAAACCUUGGAACAAAUAACUUUUAAUCCAGAGAAUCUGAUCGAGAUAAUUCCUUCGAUUAUAAUUCCUCUCCACUGAACUUGCAACCUUGCGAUAAACAGUGAGUAGAAACUUCCAUACAUCAUCAAUCUUUUACAACAAUUGAUAAACAGUGAUCUAUAAAUAACUUUAUAAAUCAAAUAUUGACUUAUUAAAUCGAUUUUCUUCACUAGAAUCAAUACUAACACAAAAGAAACAAGAAAAUUAAGAAGAAGAAAUAGCACCAAACUUAUCCCCGGCUCAUCACUAUCACAGUCUAGCAUUUUCUUCCUCCCAUCCUUCUUACACUACCCCGAGAUACCAAUUCCUAUACUAUGGAUAGUAACUACUUUUCUUAACUAUUCAUCCAUUCUACCUGCUGAACCACCUUUUCAGCAGUUAUCUAUUCUUGUUUACACUAUACACUAGGUAACUACAUUUUGAAAAUAACUACUUAUUCUACAUACCCCCACUUCUAACUGUGUAGCGUCCCCACAAACACAGUAUUGAUAAACAAAAACCAAUUUUUUUUUUUUUUUUUUUUUUUUUUUUUUUAACUAGAUUAUUCAAUCUCUUCAAUUUCUGGCACUAGAUCCAUUUGGUCUUGUUCCAACACUAUAUCUUCUUCUUUCGACUCGUCCUCAAUCUUUGCCCUUAAUUGAGCUGUUAAAUCUUCACUAUACGCUCCCAAUUCUCAAACCUGAGCUUCCAAUUGGAGGAUUUUGGCAUCUUUAGCU
rnacentral:lncRNA from 1 species